rnacentral:lncRNA from 1 species
GCGCCAUUUGGACGGAUAUUGUUUGUAUCCGACAGAAGUUGUAGAUAAAGAGAGUUAUCAUUGAGGGAGACUCGUCACCAUGUUAGACUGGAUUCGAAAGGACAUGACGUAGUCGGAGGCCCACCUACUCCAUAAUAUUCAGUCUUGCCUUCGUGACUUCACCGUGGUUUCUAUUCGGCACGUCUUCUGAGAGAUAAAUAGUAUCGUUGAUUGGAUUAUUUUUUACGUGGUUGAGCACGACAGAAUUUGACGUCA